GGUAGGAUGGCCGAAAUAGGCGGUAGGUUGUAGCCCUGAAGAUAGAGGUUUGAGUCCUCUUCCUAUCA
rnacentral:tRNA from 1 species